GCCAAUGUGGCAUAGUGGUUUGAGCAUUGGAUUAUGAGCCUGGAGAUCAGGGUUCAAGUCCCUGCUCAGCCA